GACCAACGGCUUCAGGAAGCAGCUUGCUGCUUUGCUGACGAGUGGCGGACGGGUGAGUAAUGUCUGGGAAACUGCCUGAUGGAGGGGGAUAACUACUGGAAACGGUGGCUAAUACCGCAUAACGUCGCAAGACCAAAGAGGGGGACCUUCGGGCCUCUUGCCAUCAGAUGUGCCCAGAUGGGAUUAGCUUGUUGGUGAGGUAACGGCUCACCAAGGCGACGAUCCCUAGCUGGUCUGAGAGGAUGACCAGCCACACUGGAACUGAGACACGGUCCAGACUCCUACGGGAGGCAGCAGUGGGGAAUAUUGCACAAUGGGCGCAAGCCUGAUGCAGCCAUGCCGCGUGUAUGAAGAAGGCCUUCGGGUUGUAAAGUACUUUCAGC
rnacentral:rRNA from 1 species